UGGGGCUAGGGAAAGGUUUAAGGUUUUGGGCGUAAGGGUUAAAAUCACUGUCCAAAACCUUUUUAGGAACAUGUUUCAGACAUUUUGGAGUUGGUUACACCAAAAAAAAUGUAAAAUGAAAAAAAAUUUUUUUGGGUGUUCGGGCUUCCUGAAGGUUAUACUAGGUUUCUGGGCUAGGGUAAUGUUUAAGGUUUUUGGAGUUAGGGUUAAAAUCAAUGUCCAAAACCUUUGUAGGAACUCUUUUCCAACCUUUUGGAGUUAGUUAGACCACAAAAAAUGAAAAAUAAAAAAAUAUAUUUGGGGUGUUCGGGCUUCCUGAAGGUAAUACCCGGGUAUUAGGUUUUGGGGCUAGGGUAACUUUUAAGGUUUUUGGCGUGAGGGUUAAAAUCACUGUCCAAAACCUUUGUAGGAACUCUUUAACAUCCUUUUGGAGUUAGUUAGACCAAAAAAAAAACGAAAAAUGAAAAAACAAUAUUUGGGGUUUUCGGGCUUCCUGAAGGUAAUACCCGGGUAUUAGGUUAUGGGGCUAGGGUAAGGUUUAAGGUUAUUGGCGCGAGGGUUAAAAUCACUGUCCAAAACCUUUGUAGGAACUCUUUUCCAACCUUUUGGAGUUAGUUAGACCACAAAAAAUGAAAAAUAAAAAAAAAAAUAUUUGGGGUGUUCGGGCUUCCUGAAGGUAAUACCCGGGUAUUAGGUUUGGGGCUAGGGUAAGGUUUAAGGUUUUUGGCGUAGGGUUAAAAUCACUGUCCAAAACCUUUGUAGGAACUCUUUUCCAACCUUUUGGAGUUAGUUAGACCACAAAAAAUGAAAAAUAAAAAAAAAAUAUUUGGGGUGUUCGGGCUUCCUGAAGGUAAUACCCGGGUAUUAGGUUUUGGGGCUAGGGUAACUUUUAAGGUUUUUGGCGAUAGGGUUAAAAUCACUGUCCAAAACCUUUGUAGGAACUCUUUUCCAACCUUUUGGAGUUAGUUAGACCACAAAAAAUGAAAAAAAAAAAAAAUUUGGGGUGUUCAGGCUUCCUGAAGGUAAUACCCGGGUAUUAGGUUAUGGGGCUAGGGUAAGGUUUAAGGUUUUUGGCGUAAGGGUUAAAAUCACUGUCCAAAACCUUUGUAGGAACUCUUUUCCAACCUUUUGGAGUUAGUUAGACCAAAAAAAAAAAAAGAUAAAUUAAAAAAAAAUAUUUG